CUUUCCAGAUCUUAUUUCUUGGGCUGUCAGCUGUUGGGGUGUGACUUCAGAGCCCUAAGAGCCUUCUGGAUUACUACAUCUACAAACAUUUUUUUGUGUAGUAGAAGUACUCUUCAAAAGUUGAAUUUUGUCCAGGAGGAAGCUGUACUCUGCACUCACCCUGAUACCAGACACUUCAGUUCCUCCCUGUAUGAUACUGGUGCCCUUCAAGCUUCUGUCCUGGUGUUGGAGCCCAGAGGAAGUGAGUCUGAAGGGGAAGGGAAGGAAAGAAACAUCAAUGUACGGUCGCUUCUGGUGCAUCCCCUGCUGGGAACUGGCCCCUGCUGGGAACUGGCCUGAAACCCAGGCAUGUGCCCUGCUGGGAAUUGAACUGCGAUCAUCUGCUUCGAGGGCCUGCGCUAAAUCCACUGAACUACACCAGCCAGGGGAUCAGAGUUUUUUAGCAAGUUUUGCCAAUUCACAUCCUGGAAAAUUGCAGUAAUUAAUCUUCCUGAUCAGAAUGUAUGAAAUACCUGUUUUUCUACACUCUCUCCAACAGAGGUUGUUACAAUAUUGAAAAACUUUGCCAACCUGAUUAAUGAAAAGUGAUGCCUCAAGAUAAUUGUCUUGACUUGAAUCCAUGGAUACUGGCAAGGUUAAUCAUUCUUACAUGUUGUAGACAGCUCUGCCUGAUUUUAGAAAUUGUAUCUCUACCCCUUGUGGCUAAGGGUGAGAGACGACCUCUGGAAUGCCAACUGCAGGAGACAAAGCCUGCCUCUGGUAGCAAACACUGCCUCAGUUCCUCUCCCUGCUUGGUCCAAAGCUUGGUCAGAAGUCAGUGAUGGGCAAGACCCCUCACAGCGGGGGGGGGGGCAACCUAAGCCAGACUCGAUCACUUGGGAGGCCUUCAUGGAAGGACUCAGGGGGCUGCAACAAAGAGCAAUAAACUCUCGCCCCCCAGCUUUGACAUGACCCGAGUCUCCAUGUUCUCUGGAAGAAGUGCUUCCUGGCCCUAAUCCUCUUAAGC